GGCAACGGAUAUCUCGGCUCUCGCAUCGAUGAAGAACGUAGCGAAAUGCGAUACUUGGUGUGAAUUGCAGAAUCCCGUGAACCAUCGAGUCUUUGAACGCAAGUUGCGCCCGAAGCCUUCGGGCCGAGGGCACGCCUGCCUGGGCGUCACGCAUCGCGUCGCCUCAUCCCCCCUGCUC
rnacentral:rRNA from 1 species